GACCUAGCCGACCCCGCCCCGCCCGGCGGUCCUGCGUGGAAUGACUCAGCGCUUUCCCGGGGUGGGACCGGAGUUGGGGCGGCGCGGGGGGUCUCAGUAAGCGCUCGGGCGUCCGCUGCGGCUGUUUGCAGCUGUGGGAAAGCGCUGCCCCUUCUAGUCAGGUAUCCCGGGAAUCCUGGCCUCUCGACUGCCGGGACCCCGCGUGCUGUCCAUUCAGGACUCAGACUAGAGGAAGGGUCUUCCUGACUGUCCGUGGAAAACCACGUCUGGAGUUGCCCUGCGAUCGGAGAACUAUGCACCCAAAUAUUUCUCCAUUUUUUUUUCCUCAGCCCAGCCUCGAAAAACCUGUUCUAGGGCUGGAGAAGAUGUCUCGGCCGUUACGAACAGUGGCUGCUCUACCAGAGGACCUGGCCUCAAUUCCCAGCAUCCCGUGGAGGACUGAGCAUAUUUGUUACAAAAUCAUUCUACACUGAGACCCACUGAGCUAGAGAAAAUGAAGUAAGUGGCUGGUGGACUCCCAGCCUGUGCCGUCUCCAGCGCAUUUGACCUCCCUGGCAGGACUAGCAUCUGAGUAAGCCAUGGUAACCGUGGUUUUAAGUACCUCAAAUCAUUGAAACAAAACUGGUUGAAGGCUGGAGAGAUGGCUCAUCAGGUAAAGGUACUUGCAGCCAAGCCUGAUGCCCUGAAUUCAAUCCCUGAAAUACACAGAGGAGAUAAAGAGAACUGACUUCCAGAAGUUGUCCUUAGCCCUCCACUUGUGCACUGUGCCCCCACACAACCACACAGCAAUAAACAAAUGUAACAAUAAACAUUUAAACAAAAACCCAGAAAACUUGUUGGGAGACAUUGUCCUGAAGUGUUCAUUAUUUAAGAUAGGGCAAUUAGCCAGGCAGUGGUAGCAUACGCCUUGAAUCCCAGCACUGAAGAGGCAGAGGCAGGCAGAUCUCUGUGAGUUGGAGACCAGCCUGGUCUACAGAGUGAGUUCCAGGACAGCCAGGACUACAUAGAGAAACCUUGUCUAGAAAAAGAAAAGUAACAACUUCAACUCUGCAUCCUAACAUCCAGCACAUGGUCUAAGCAGUUGGUACUCA